rnacentral:rRNA from 1 species
GACGGGUGAGUUACGCGUGGGUAACCUGCCGUAUGCAGGGGGAUAACAGUUAGAAAUGACUGCUAAUACCGCAUAAGCGCACAGUAUCGCAUGAUACAGUGUGAAAAACGAUAGUGGCAUACGAUGGACCCGCGUCUGAUUAGCUAGUUGGCGGGGUAACGGCCCACCAAGGCGACGAUCAGUAGCCGGCCUGAGAGGGUGAACGGCCACAUUGGAACUGAGACACGGUCCAAACUCCUACGGGAGGCAGCAGUGGGGGAUAUUGCACAAUGGGGGAAACCCUGAUGCAGCGACGCCGCGUGAGUGAAGAAGUAUUUCGGUAUGUAAAGCUCUAUCAGCAGGAAAGAUAAUGACGGUACCUGACUAAGAAGCACCGGCUAAAUACGUGCCAGCAGCCGCGGUAAUACGUAUGGUGCAAGCGUUAUCCGGAUUUACUGGGUGUAAAGGGAGCGCAGACGGCAUGGCAAGCCAGAUGUGAAAGGUGGGGGCUCAACCCCCAAGCUGCAUUUGGAACUGUCAAGCUAGAGUAUCGGAGAGGUAAGUGGAAUUCCUAGUGUAGCGGUGAAAUGCGUAGAUAUUAGGAGGAACACCAGUGGCGAAGGCGGCUUACUGGACGAUAACUGACGUUGAGGCUCGAAAGCGUGGGGAGCAAACAGGAUUAGAUACCCCGGUAGUCCACGCCGUAACGAUGAAUACUAGGUGUUGGGAGGCAAAAGCCUUUCGGUGCCGCAGCUAACGCAAUAAGUAUUCCACCUGGGGAGUACGUUCGCAAGAAUGAAACUCAAAGGAUUGACGGGACCCGCACA